rnacentral:rRNA from 1 species
CGAGAGUGACUAGCUAACUGAAUCAAUUAUAAAAAUUGAUAACAUAAGGGAAAAUAAUGAUAUUACCUUAUUAUUAGUGUCGUCCAAAACUGGUGCCAGAAGACUCGGUAAGGCCUGAGACACAAACGUUAAUCGUCUUAAUCAGGCGUAAAGGGUUUGUAGGCGGCUUUAAAUUUACUUAUAAAAAUAAAAAAUAAGUAAAGAUAAAAGCUAGAAUCAAAUAGAGGAUAUAUGAAAGAAUGCUUAGAGUAGGUCUGAUAUCCUUAGAUACUAAGUAGAAUAUUAAAGGCGAAAGCUUUUUUCCAUUAAUGAUUGACGCUCAGAAACGAAGGUGAGGAUAGGAAAUAGGAUUAGAUACCCAGAAUACCCCUCUCUGUCAACGAUGAAUGGUAGUUAUUAGUAAAAAUUAUUAAUGGCAAUGUUAACACGAUAACCAUUCCGCCUUGUGAGUACAAUUGCAAAGUUGAAAACAAAAAAAUUAGUCGGUUUCGGAGCAAACGAAGUGAAGCAUGUUAUUUAAUUCGAAAUAAUCCGCCA